rnacentral:sRNA from 1 species
UAUAAUGAAUUGACUAUUGUGAUCUCUUUAGCUUGAAAUAGGCGCUGGAGUCUGUCUGAGUAUGUAAAAGAUGUGGUGGAUAGGAUAAGAAAGAAACCUUCUACAUCAGCUAAUUCUUCUUCCACGAGGGACUCAAAUAAAGGAGGAAGCAACCACUGGUACCAUUUUCACACAACGGAGCCGACUUACUUAAGUUACUUCGUCACUUUAACGUACUUUUUUUCUUACUCUAUCAUAGGCCUUCGUCGGGCUGGCUUUCAUGCUUUGCCCUAGCCACCGCUAUCCUUGGGAAACCAAAAGAUUGCAGAAUGGAGGAAACUAUUGCGAAUGAGCUAAAGAAGAAGAUAUGGAAAGACUGACCGCAAUUGAAGAAAUGACCUUAAAUCUUUGUGUACUGACUCCGAAUCGAAUUUCGCGGAUAACCCCAAUUUUGGUUUAAUAGUACAUCCUAAUAGGGGACAAAUGUUAAAGGAAUUGGUUGAUCUUGACGCUUUGUGCAAUUGAGUGUAGGUUUGGAUCAUAACAGGGCAGGACUAAAUUUUAUAAGUAGAAGUCGACCUCGCAUCUUAUAACUAUUAGCUUGUAUAUUGAUCUUAAUUGCCAUAUCUCAUGCUUUGGUGCUGAGUCCCCAAUUUCAAACCUCUCUUUCCGCUUAUGUCUUCUUGUUUGCUUGAGGGCAAGCAAAGACUAAGUUUGGGGGAUUUGAUAUGUCUAUAAUAUGUAUGACUUAGGCAUUCAUUCUUCACCACUUUGUCAUUGUUUCAUCCACAUUUCAUCUCAUUAGUAGUCGUUUUAGCGUGUUUUGCAUAUUUAGGACGGUUUUGUAUUAGGAUUGCAUGUGCAUUGUAGGUUUGGUUGUUUUCAUGUACUUUGGAUGCUUUUGGAGUUUAAACAUAGGAGAAACAGAACCAAAAGUCAGAAUGGUCAAUGACGCCUUCAACCAAAGUACUCGAUCGCAACCUUAGAGCCCUGC